UUAAUGGAGAGUUUGAUCCUGGCUCAGGACGAACGCUGGCGGCGUGCCUAAUACAUGCAAGUCGAGCGAGGUUACUUAGAAGCUUGCUUCUAAGUAACCUAGCGGCGGACGGGUGAGUAACACGUAGGCAACCUGCCCACAAGACAGGGAUAACUACCGGAAACGGUAGCUAAUACCCGAUACAUCCUUUUCCUGC
rnacentral:rRNA from 1 species